CCUACGGGGAGCUGCAGUGGGGAAUAUUGGACAAUGGGCGAAAGCCUGAUCCAGCCAUGCCGCGUGUGUGAAGAAGGCCUUCGGGUUGUAAAGCACUUUCAGUGGGGAAGAAAGCCUUGGGGCUAAUACCCUCGAGGAAGGACAUCACCCACAGAAGAAGCACCGGCUAACUCCGUGCACAGCAGCCGCGGUAAUACGGAGGGUGCGAGCGUUAAUCGGAAUUACUGGGCGUAAAGCGCGCGUAGGCGGUCUGAUAAGCCGGUUGUGAAAGCCCCGGGCUCAACCUGGGAACGGCAUCCGGAACUGUCAGGCUAGAGUGCAGGAGAGGAAGGUAGAAUUCCCGGUGUAGCGGUGAAAUGCGUAGAGAUCGGGAGGAAUACCAGUGGCGAAGGCGGCCUUCUGGACUGACACUGACGCUGAGGUGCGAAAGCGUGGGUAGCAAACAGGAUUAGAUACCCGAGUAGUC
rnacentral:rRNA from 1 species